GUGGGGAAUUUUGGACAAUGGGCGCAAGCCUGAUCCAGCAAUGCCGCGUGCAGGAAGAAGGCCUUCGGGUUGUAAACUGCUUUUGUACGGAACGAAACGGUCCUGGUUAAUACCUGGGGCUAAUGACGGUACCGUAAGAAUAAGCACCGGCUAACUACGUGCCAGCAGCCGCGGUAAUACGUAGGGUGCGAGCGUUAAUCGGAAUUACUGGGCGUAAAGCGUGCGAAGGCGGUGCUGUAAGACAGGCGUGAAAUCCCCGGGCUCAACCUGGGAAUUGCGCUUGUGACUGCAGUGCUGGAGUACGGCAGAGGGGGAUGGAAUUCCGCGUGUAGCAGUGAAAUGCGUAGAUAUGCGGAGGAACACCGAUGGCGAAGGCAGUCCCCUGGGCCUGUACUGACGCUCAUGCACGAAAGCGUGGGGAGCAAACAGGAUUAGAAACCCUUGUAGUCC
rnacentral:rRNA from 1 species